rnacentral:rRNA from 1 species
GAGUUUGAUCAUGGCUCAGGAUGAACGCUAGCGGCAGGCUUAAUACAUGCAAGUCGAGGGGCAUCAGCUUAUAGCAAUAUAGGGCUGGCGACCGGCAAACGGGUGCGGAACACGUACACAACCUUCCUUUAAGAGGGGGAUAGCCCAUAGAAAUGUGGAUUAAUACCCCGUAAGAUAGUGGGAUGGCAUCAUACUACUAUUAUAGUUACGACGCUUGAAGAUGGGUGUGCGUCUGAUUAGGUAGUUGGCGGGGUAAAGGCCCACCAAGCCUUCGAUCAGUAGCUGAUGUGAGAGCAUGAUCAGCCACACGGGCACUGAGACACGGGCCCGACUCCUACGGGAGGCAGCAGUAAGGAAUAUUGGUCAAUGGACGCAAGUCUGAACCAGCCAUGCCGCGUGAAGGAUGAAGGUCCUCUGGAUUGUAAACUUCUUUAUAGGGGGCGAAAAAAGGGAAAUCUUUCUCACUUGACAGUACCCUAUGAAUAAGCACCGGCUAACUCCGUGCCAG